GGGCAAUCGCGGCCGGGUGUCACAAACAUUCCGGCUGAGGAAAGUCCGGACUGCAUAGAGCGGGGAGUCCUUUUGAAAAGAAGGAUACUGCGGACAAUACGCCGCAGGAAGGCCAGUGCAACAGAAAGGAUACCGCCCGGAUACAUCCGGGUAAGGGUGAAAAGGUGGGGUAAGAGCCCACCGGGCGCGUCAGCGAGAGCGGUGCCGCAUGGUAAACCCCUCCCGCAGCAAGACCAAAUAGAGGGUGAGCCGUUGCUCGCGGCGUUAUGAACCCCGGGUUCUGGUCGCACAGACAGAUGAUUGCCCAUCCGCCUCGGGCGGAGGACAGAAUCCGGCUUACAG
rnacentral:RNase_P_RNA from 1 species